rnacentral:rRNA from 1 species
AAACGCUGGCGGGUGCUUACACAUGCAAGCGAACGAGGUCCAUCCGAUCUUCGGAUUGGUGAAGACCUAGUGGCGAACGGGUGCGUAACACGUGAGAAACCUGCCCCGGUCUCUGGGAUAACAGUUGGAAACGACUGCUAAUACCGGAUGCCGUCGGACCGUCGCAUGGCGGACCGACGAAAGGGUUACCGGAUCGGGAGGGUCUCGCGGCCUAUCAGCUUGUUGGUGAGGUAACGGCUCACCAAGGCAUCGACGGGUAGCUGGUCUGAGAGGAUGAUCAGCCACACUGGGACUGAGACACGGCCCAGACUCCUACGGGAGGCAGCAGUGGGGAAUAUUGCACAAUGGGCGAAAGCCUGAUGCAGCAACGCCGCGUGCGGGAUGAAGGCCCUAGGGUUGUAAACCGCUUUCAGCAGGGAAGAAAAUGACGGUACCUGUAGAAGAAGGUGCGGCCAACUACGUGCCAGCAGCCGCGGUGACACGUAGGCACCAAGCGUUGUCCGGAUUUAUUGGGCGUAAAGAGCUCGUAGGCGGGUUCAGUAAGUCGGGUGUGAAAACUCUGGGCUCAACCCAGAGACGCCACCCGAUACUGGUGUUACCUAGGGUGCGGCAGGGGAGCGGGAAUCCCUAUGUAGCGGUGAAAUGGCAAUAUUAGAGGACACCAGGGGAAGGCCGACUGGGCGG